rnacentral:lncRNA from 1 species
CUCUUCAUUAAAACUCCUUCAGCCCUUUGGAAGAGGAGAGGAGGCCAGACUCCCAUUGUCCCGCACAGCCAGUGAUUGACCUCUGGGGUAACCCCUGGAAAUGUUUUUCAUUUUAUUGUCGUCCUCCCUGCAGAUGCUAAGACAGAAACAAGCAUUUUUGCAGACUGAACAGAAGGAGUCACUGGAGAAAAAUAACGUAAAAGUUUCAAAAUAGAAUGUACAAUUAAUGAAGCAGGAAUCCGGAGGAGAGGAAUAGGAAAAGCUUUGAGUGUGAGGUAAAGAUUAAGAUGGUAUAAUUUUAAAGCUCCAAUUUUAAAUUCGAGUUUUCCGAAUCUAUGAUUUAACCUAAAGAGAUACCGCUAUAUGGGUGCUCCCGCUAUGUUCCACAGCACCCCUCCCAUCUAUUCCCCUCUUUCUCUUUACCACUGUGACUAUUUAUAAGCCUUUCCCAGCCCCCUGCAUCCCCCUAUUGAGGGGAGGGCCUGACUCUGAGAAAUGAAUGCGAAUCCUUAACAAGCCUCAAGCGCUUAGCAUUCACCCAGUUAAGGAGGCCAGGUUUUAUGAGUAACGUGAAGCUGUAAAGGCUCUGUGAGGAAUCAACCAAAGUGAUACAGUUUGGGAAAACAGAACCAAUGUAAGACAAAAAAUCCUGAAAAACAUCCCCUUUACCCACCCCCCAUCCCCCGCAAAAAAACCCCACAAUGAAAUAAGAGGGAAGUAAUGAGAAAACAAGGAAAUAAGUUGAACCAUACGUUAACAAUUAUUUAAGAUAAAGGCUUCCAUGGCAGAAAGUUAGUAGAUUCAAAUGCUUGGUCCCUCAGGAAAUAUUUUUCAAAUUAUUAAAAACAUUGCCCUCCAUGCCAGCCUGAGGGUUCCUCACUUUCUGCGGUGGAAGAGCAUAUAAAGAUAAUUGCUACAACCCUCCACAUGUGAUUUCAUAAUAUUGGAGUCAAUUUAAAGAAAUCUCAUGGGUCCCAUUUAUUCUUUGGUUGUAUGACUGAUUUUAUAGAUGGGGAAAUAGGCCCAGGAGACACAUGAGAGGCGAAUAUUUGAUGGCUCAUAGUUAUCCAUGGUGGUAAAUUUGUUUUAAUUUUUUAUUGCUUUUUUUUU